CAGGCAUUGGACAAUGUUCCAUAAGAGGUUUGAGAGACCCUUCCAAGUAGGACAGGAGUAAAGAACAGAAAAAUGAAAUCUUCCUCAGCCCUCAGGAGCACAGAAACUGCAGUGAUCUAAGACCAGUGACUAUGACCUUCAAAGAUCUGUAUGACCCACUGCAUCUUCCCUUAACCACUUACCCAGCCCUGUAGAGAUCUGGUGACCUGAUGUAAGUUCUUUUCCCCAUUGCUUUGUUCAGUCCUUGCUUAUCCUAUGUCUUAGUUGAUGAGACACCAAUCUGAAGCUUCCCUGGAACACACAAAGAA